GACGGAGGGGGGCAAGCGUUGUCCGGACUCACUGGGCGUAAAGGGCGCGUAGGCGGCUCAUGAAGGCUGUGGUGAAAGUCCGGGGGCUCAACCUCGGAUCGGCCGUGGCGACUCGUGGGCUGGAGCACUGUAGAGGCGGGUGGAAUUCCGAGUGUAGAGGUGAAAUUCGUAGAUAUUCGGAAGAACACCAGUGGCGAAGGCGGCUCACUUGGACCGGUAUUGACGCUGAGGUGCGAAAGCGUGGGGAGCAAACAGG
rnacentral:rRNA from 1 species